AUCCACCAGGUGGCGCAGCAUACCGCAAAACUCUCAACAGGAGGGGGCUAAAGGAGUACAAGACAGCUGAAGGGAAUACAGCAAUUGCUGACUGCAACCACGAUGCAGCUCAGCAGAAUGCAAAACUCUCGCAGAACGUGAUAAACCCACCCCCUUUUGCUGCUUUCCUCAAAGAGGAAUUUGGUACCCCAGAAAUUUGACCUCUGAGGAUUGGUCAGAGUUAGCUACCAUUAAGAUUAUUGCCCAAUACCUUAAUUUUACCCUUCUCCCAAUUUGCCUCUGAUAAUAAUCAGACAUAUGGUAAAAUAAAAUUGCUAAAAUUUUGUACCCUUUAGUCAGGUCAGAGGAUUGGAACUGUGCUUUGCCUUUGAUUACUUAUUUAUUUCAGGCAAUUGACUCUUGCUGUCUAUCUGUAAAAAGAAUAUAAUAGUACCUUCUUUGCAAGAUUAUUGUUAAGUAUUAAAUCAGUACAAAUGUCACCUUAGGUAGCUCUGUGUGUUGGCUGUUUUGAUGACUGAAAUGUGAUGGAAUUAUGAAUACUCAUGAGAGAAGGAAUGUUGAUGCAAACAGCAGAGACACGUUUGAAUUCUAAGAUCCUGAAGCCAUUUUCCUCUCUUGUUAGAUUUUUACAUUUAACUUCACAUCAUGAUUUAAAGUUAUUUUCUGGAAAGAAACUAAUCACAAUGCCAGAUGUCAAGACAGAAUAAUACAUGUUUACUGUCAUACAUUUCUUUCUUAAUAUUUGGAAAUUAAAAUUUCCAAGGUUUAGUUCUAAAGGCUUUUACCUUGAUUUCUGAAAUAUUUUGUAAACAGAAAAUCAGUUAGGUUUUCUCAAAGGGCAUGAUGUUUUACACAAAAGUAUAUCUUGGGUUGUCUGAGUCCAACCAAGAGGCUGCUCAAAAAGCAGGUUAGAAGAAAAUCCAUGUCUAAUUCCUCUAAUGAGUGGGUUAAGCAUUUGUCUCCAUAUUUAAAUGGUUGCAGACUUUGAGAAUAAAUUCAGAGAAUCAUCCCUCAUAGGGACAGAAAUGAAUGAAAAGAGUCUAGAAUUGAACAUGUCUCUCUUUCUAAAAUCACAAAUUGAAGACCUAGCUUUGUGGGAUGAAGAGGUUGAUCUAUUAAGGCUGAAUUUUCAGUGAUAUAAACUUUAGGGUGCCUUUCAGCAUCAAGUUGUGAAAGCCCUUUCUGGACAUUUUGCAGAAUGUUGGCGUACAGCCUGCCUGCUGAGAUCCCAGUGUGUGACCUGUUCCUGCCUGCAGCCAGAGGCAAACUCAGUGACCCACUGAGGCCACUGUCAACUGGCACAGACUGGAAAAUUGUUAAAUAAAUUGGUCAGAAACUGUCAAACCUAUUGCAUAAUCCAAACCUUAAAACCCGGACUGUAAAGUUUUCUCCUCAUGCCAGUCAUUCACACCUUUUGGAUUCAUUUUUUGAUCAGUUCAUCAGAAGAGUAUUUAUUGGUUCUCUAUGAGAUAUGCCCAGCACUGUGAUAAGUGCUACUUUAAAAUUUAUUUUUAAAACUAUAACUAAUGGGGAAAGAACUUGGGUGGUUCUCCAAGACACCCAGAGAUUAAGAUGACGUGUACUAUAAAUCCGUAACAAGUAAUAAUUUGCUUUAAAAAAAAUCAGAGACACGUUAACCACGUAGACAAUCUCCACCUUCAUCUUUCUGGAACUCUUCAGCUCCCAGAAAGUGACAGGGUGUUUCUACACCAAAGAGUAUGCACAUUGCCAUUUUUAGUUUCUUCCGUCAUACGGUAUACUCAUGGCCUCAGGGGAAAGACAUGUGACACUUCAAGUCACUUGAGAGUACAGCUGUCUUACUAUCACCAUCCCAUUGAGGCCAGUUUUGGCCCAGCCACAGCUGCUGGUGGAGCCCACGUGGGUGUAACUGUGUGGGGAGAGUCGUGAUACAGACAAGCCAACUGACACUGCAGAGGGGCCCUCAGGGCAGAUCACAGCCACAGCCCUUGGUGGCCCAUUUUAAAGUUGUAAAUGUAUGUAUAUGAUGAGAAUAAAUACAUAUCGGUGGUUGAUUAUGUGUGAAACAUAAAAGCAUAAAAAGGUUAAUUUUAUUAUUAUUUCCCCCCCUCAACUUUAUUGAAAUGUAACUGACAUACAUUGUGUGUGUUUAAGGGGUAUAGCAUGAUUACUUGAUACACGUAUAUACUGCAAAACGUUUACCACAAUCAGGUUAGUUGGCACAUCCUUUGCCUCCCAUAAUUACCUUUUUGUUGUUGUCGACAUGAUGAUGAAAACCUUUAAGGUCUCCUUUCUUAACAACUUUCAAGUGUACUAAACGGUAUUGUUAUCUGUAGUCACCAUACUGAACAUUAGAUCCUGGGAGCUGAUUCAUCUCAUAACAAGAAGUUUAUGCCCUUUGACCAACCUCUCCCAUUUCCCCCACCUCCUAGCUCUUGGCAGUCAGUAUUCUACCCUCUGUUUUUGUUUUUUAAGAUUCCACAUGUAAAUGAGAAAAUACAGCAUUUCUCUUUCUUGGUCUUAUUAUUGGAGUUCCGGUCGUGGCACAGUGGUUAACGGAUCCAACUAGGAAUCAUGAGGUUGUGGAUUCGGUCCCUGGCCUUGCUCAGUGGGUUAAGGAUCUAGCAUUGCCGUGAUCUGUGGUUUAGGUUGUAGAUGUGGCUCAGAUCCUGCGUUGCUGUGGCUCUGGCGUAGGCUGGCCUCUACAGCUCCGAUUCGACCCCUAGCCUGGGAACCUCCAUGUGGGAGCUGCCCUAGAAAAGG
rnacentral:lncRNA from 1 species